UAAGGAAUCUUCCACAAUGGGGGCAACCCUGAUGGAGCAACACCGCGUGCAGGAUGAAGGCCUUAGGGUUGUAAACUGCUUUUAUUAGCGAAGAAUAUGACGGUAACUAAUGAAUAAGGGUCGGCUAACUACGUGCCAGCAGCCGCGGUCAUACGUAGGACCCAAGCGUUAUCCGGAGUGACUGGGCGUAAAGAGUUGCGUAGGCGGUAGUUUAAGCAGAUAGUGAAAGCAUGUGGCUCAACCAUUAUGUCUAUUAUCUGAACUGAAUUACUCGAGAAUGGUAGAGGUAGCUGGAAUUUCUAGUGUAGGAGUGAAAUCCGUAGAUAUUAGAAGGAACACCAAUGGCGUAGGCAGGCUACUGGACCAUUUCUGACGCUGAGGCACGAAAGCGUGGGGAGCGAACCGGAUUAGAUACCCGUGUAGUCC
rnacentral:rRNA from 1 species